AUUGAACGCUGGCGGCAUGCUUUACACAUGCAAGUCGAACGGCAGCGCGGGCUUCGGCCUGGCGGCGAGUGGCGAACGGGUGAGUAAUGCAUCGGAACGUGCCCAGUAGUGGGGGAUAGCCCGGCGAAAGCCGGAUUAAUACCGCAUACGACCUGAGGGUGAAAGCGGGGGACCGCAAGGCCUCGCGCUAUUGGAGCGGCCGAUGUCGGAUUAGCUAGUUGGUGGGGUAAAGGCUUACCAAGGCGACGAUCCGUAGCUGGUCUGAGAGGACGACCAGCCACACUGGGACUGAGACACGGCCCAGACUCCUACGGGAGGCAGCAGUGGGGAAUUUUGGACAAUGGGGGCAACCCUGAUCCAGCCAUGCCGCGUGCGGGAAGAAGGCCUUCGGGUUGUAAACCGCUUUUGUUCGGGAAGAAAUCCUCUGGGCUAAUACCCCGGGGGGAUGACGGUACCGGAAGAAUAAGCACCGGCUAACUACGUG
rnacentral:rRNA from 1 species